GAUUCUAUACAAUAGGCCUUUAUGACAUUUGUCUCUUUCUGGUACAGAAUGUGACACAUGUAGGAAUAUAGUUAGGGAUAAGUCUGGUUUCUAGGGUUAGUUGCAAGAAGGGAGUUUUGAGAUAAGCCCUGGGAAAUGAUUCAGGGUAAGAAAGGAAUUGUGGGAGUCUAAAACUGAAAAUAACUGAACUAAACUUCCAUCUUGGAUUUCAUCUCUCUGCCUACAUUUCCAUCAAGCUGAAGAUGGGGGUUUGCUCUAAAACAUUCUUCCUGGAUAGCCAAGAUUUUGUGGAGAAAUCUUUGACAUCUAGGUAGAGGAUUAUUUGGAGGAAACCAAUUUUCCCUGAGUCUAAAUAUCAUCUUCUAGUGGUUCAGCUGCCAGAAUUCCUCUUGGCUAAGCUCUUAUAAUACAGAUUGUAAUCCAUCCAAGUCUUCUCAUCCUAUGCAACUAUUAUCCGGGAACUCUCCUAACUUCACCAUAAGAAGACUACUCAUUCUCUUGACAUUCUGAAGAUACAGUUCCUCAGUAAUUUCAGCUGGUUAGUCUGGUCACCUUCCCGUUUUCUCUGAUCCUUCUGAAGACAAAACUGUUUAAAUAGUUGUACCUUCACUUACCUGAGAUGACUGCAUUUCCCAGGUGAAUAAAGAGAGUUUGGACAAAAUGCAUUCUCACAUCCACAUCUGCUGUAUCCAGCAUCUACACAGAUAUUAUGAAACAACUUAAUCAAGCCGCUGGGACUUUGCUAGCCAUGGAUGAGAAAAGCACAGCAAAUACACUGACGCCCUUCGACUGUGAAUCCAAAGCUGGGAGAGACAAGGAAGGCCUGGCAGAUGAGGUGAAGGAGAGUUGGCGACAAG
rnacentral:lncRNA from 1 species